rnacentral:misc_RNA from 1 species
AACGCAUAUUGCGCUCUCUGGUAUUCCGGAGAGCAUGCUUGUUUGAGUAUCAGUAAACACCUCAACUCCCUUUUCUUUUUUGAAAUGGGAGCUGGACUUGAGUGAUCCCAACACUUUUCUCAUUGGAAAGUGGCGGGUCACUUGAAAUGCAGGUGCAGCUGGACUUUUCUCUGAGCUAUAAGCAUAUCUAUUUAGUCUGCCUAAAAAACAGAUUAUUACCUUUGCUGCAGCUAACAUAAAGGAGAUGAGUUCUUGUGCUGACUGAUGCAGGAUUCACAGAGACAGCUUCGCGGCUGACUUUGUAAACUCGAUCUCAAAUCAAGUAAGACUACCCGCUGAACUUAA